rnacentral:rRNA from 1 species
UGAGGAAUAUUGGACAAUGGGCGCAAGCCUGAUCCAGCCAUGCCGCGUGCAGGAUGACGGUCCUAUGGAUUGUAAACUGCUUUUGUACGAGAAGAAACACUCCGACGUGUCGGAGCUUGACGGUAUCGUAAGAAUAAGGAUCGGCUAACUCCGUGCCAGCAGCCGCGGUAAUACGGAGGAUCCAAGCGUUAUCCGGAAUCAUUGGGUUUAAAGGGUCCGUAGGCGGUCUUAUAAGUCAGUGGUGAAAUCUCCCCGCUCAACGGGGAAACGGCCAUUGAUACUGUAGGACUUGAAUUAUUAGGAAGUAACUAGAAUAUGUAGUGUAGCGGUGAAAUGCUUAGAGAUUACAUGGAAUACCAAUUGCGAAGGCAGGUUACUACUAAUGGAUUGACGCUGAUGGACGAAAGCGUGGGUAGCGAACA